rnacentral:rRNA from 1 species
CUACGGGAGGCAGCAGUGAGGAAUAUUGCGCAAUGGGGGAAACCCUGACGCAGCGACGCCGCGUGGAUGAUGAAGGCCUUCGGGUUGUAAAAUCCUGUCAGAUGGGAAGAACUGUUACAUGUCUAAUAUAUGUGUAACCUGACGGUACCAUCAAAGGAAGCACCGGCUAACUCCGUGCCAGCAGCCGCGGUAAUACGGAGGGUGCAAGCGUUGUUCGGAAUUACUGGGCGUAAAGCGCGCGUAGGCGGCUAUGUAAGUCAGAUGUGAAAGCCCAUGGCUUAACCAUGGACGUGCAUUUGAUACUGCAUGGCUUGAGUACUGGAGGGGGUGGUGGAAUUCCCGGUGUAGAGGUGAAAUUCGUAGAUAUCGGGAGGAAUACCGGUGGCGAAGGCGAUCACCUGGCCAGAUACUGACGCUGAGGUGCGAAAGCGUGGGGAGCAAACAGGAUUAGAUACCCUUGUAGUC